CUGGCGGCGUGCCUAUACAUGCAAGUCGAGCGAACCGACGGGAGCCUGCUCCCCCAGGUCAGCGGCGGACGAGUGAGUAACACGUCGGUACCCUGCCUGUAAGACUGGGACAACUCCGGGAAACCAGGGCUAAUACCGGAUGCUUGAUUGAACCGCAUGGUUCCAAUCAUACCAGGGGGUCCUCACUUCCCGCACACAAAGGGACCCGGGGGGCAUUACUUAUUGGGGGAGGAACCGGUUCACCARGGCAACAAGCCUAACCCAACUGGAAAGGGGGACCGGCCCCACUACGACUGAAACCCGGCCCAAAUUCUUCCGGAAGGCACCACCAGGGAAUCCUCCCCCAUGAACAAAGUCCUGACGGACAACCGGCCCUCGAAUUGAUAAAGGUUUCCGAACCCGAAAAUUCGGUGGUUCGGAAAAACCAAUUCCCAUUCAAAUUCGGGGGGACCUUGGCCGGUCCUUACCCACAAAGGCAAGGGUUACCACCAUCCAACCUCCGGGGGAAUACGUUAAGGUGGCAAGCGUUGUCCGGAAUUAUUGGCCGGAACGCGCGCGCAGGCGGCUUCUUAAGUCUGAUGUGAAAGCCCCUGGCUCACCCGGGCAGGCUCAUCGGAACUGGGCAACUUGGACGCAGACGCAGACAGUGCAACUCCACGUGCAGCGCUGAACUGCGUA
rnacentral:rRNA from 1 species